CGGGGCGUAGCGCAGUUUGGGAGCGCGCAACGUUCGGGACGUUGAGGUCGGAGGUUCAAAUCCUCUCGCCCCGACCA
rnacentral:tRNA from 1 species